rnacentral:lncRNA from 1 species
AGUAAAUCUCUGCAUGACACUGCUGCCAUGUGGUUCAUUCACUCAGUAUACAGAUGUUUUCAAUCUGUACAGUUUGUCUUUCAUAUCCAUAUGAGAUGAAGCAGGCUUGAUUUGGGCUGGGAAUGAUGCCAAAGAGAGAAGACACAUCAUUAACCCUUAAUAAACGACUUACGAAGCAUCCCUGGUUUAUUCAUUAAAAGGACUCCGUGAAGGAUUACCAUAACACCCUAUGAGCGAUGUUUUCAAGCCUGGGAAGGCCAGGGAGCAGCUGAAGUCAGAACAAGCCUGCGAGGGAGGAGGCCGGGAAAGCACCGGCGCUGUGCAGCUGACAGCAGAGCUCCCUCCCUCCCGCUCCCACCGGCCAGCGCCACUUCUGGUGCCAACACUGAACCAUUUCAGCAUCCUCUGCCUUAAAUCCUCUUAAUGAAAGCAUGAAGAAUGACAAAAUACUUCCUUUCAUAAAGCAGAAGGCUGUGCCAAUUCACUUUCAACAUGCUCAUUCAGUGGAACUGAGCUCCUUACAAGCAAAAAAACCCCGGAUUAGGCAAACAUCUUCAGACCUGAACCUCAGAACUCCUUACGUUAAUUUAGUGCCUGUAGAAGCAACGGAUCAGCCACCAAAAGCUCGUCUGUUUUCUUGUGUUUAUGGAACGAGCCGCGGUGACAGAG